rnacentral:rRNA from 1 species
AGCGAACGCUGGCGGCAUGCCUAACACAUGCAAGUCGCACGGGGGGGCUUCGGCCUCCCAGUGGCGGACGGGUGAGGAACGCGUAGGGACCUGUCGAGGGGUGGGGGAUAACCGCGGGAAACUGCGGCUAAUACCGCAUGACGCCGCGGCGUGACAGCCGGGGCCAAAGGCGAAAGCCGCCCGCCGAGGGGCCUGCGUCCGAUUAGCUAGUUGGCGGGGUAGCGGCCCACCAAGGCGUCGAUCGGUAGCUGGUCUGAGAGGGUGAUCAGCCACACCGGGACUGAGACACGGCCCGGACUCCUACGGGAGGCAGCAGUGGGGAAUAUUGGACAAUGGGCGCAAGCCUGAUCCAGCAAUGCCGCGUGGGUGAAGAAGGUCUUCGGAUUGUAAAGCCCUUUCGGCGGGGACGAUGGUGACGGUACCCGCAGAAGAAGCCCCGGCUAACUUCGUG